rnacentral:tRNA from 1 species
GCCUCUUUAGCUCAGUCGGUAGAGCAACUCAUUCGUAAUGAGUAGGUCGCAGGUUCGAUUCCCGUAGGAGGCU